rnacentral:rRNA from 1 species
GUGCCAGCAGCCGCGGUAAUACGUAGGGUGCAAGCGUUAAUCGGAAUUACUGGGCGUAAAGCGUGCGCAGGCGGUUUUGUAAGUCUGUCGUGAAAGCCCCGGGCUCAACCUGGGAAUUGCGAUGGAGACUGCAAGGCUUGAAUCUGGCAGAGGGGGGUAGAAUUCCACGUGUAGCAGUGAAAUGCGUAGAGAUGUGGAGGAACACCGAUGGCGAAGGCAGCCCCCUGGGUCAAGAUUGACGCUCAUGCAC